rnacentral:tRNA from 1 species
GCGCCCGUAGCUCAGCUGGAUAGAGUGGAUGACUACGAAUCAUCAGGUCGCAGGUUCGACUCCUGUCGGGCGCACCA